rnacentral:rRNA from 1 species
AACGAACGCUGGCGGCAGGCCUAACACAUGCAAGUCGAGCGCCCCGCUAGGGGAGCGGCAGACGGGUGAGUAACGCGUGGGAAUUUACCCAAUGGUACGGAAUAGCCCAGGGAAACUUGGAGUAAUACCGUAUAAGCCCGAAAGGGGAAAGAUUUAUCGCCAUUGGAUGAGCCCGCGUUGGAUUAGCUAGUUGGUGAGGUAACGGCUCACCAAGGCGACGAUCCAUAGCUGGUCUGAGAGGAUGAUCAGCCACACUGGGACUGAGACACGGCCCAGACUCCUACGGGAGGCAGCAGUGGGGAAUAGUGGACAAUGGGCGCAAGCCUGAUCCAGCCAUGCCGCGUGAGUGACGAAGGUCUUCGGAUUGUAAAGCUCUUUUGGCGGGGACGAUAAUGACGGUACCCGCAGAAUAAGCCCCGGCUAACUUCGUGCCAGCAGCCGCCGUAAAAC